AUGUAUCGUCAGUCUCUACUCGCGAUCGCGCGAAAUAACAUUACAUAUUCGACUUUCCCCGCUGGUGGCAAAUGUUUUCACCGUACGCACGGUGGUAGUGCAAAACGGGACACCUUUCGAGCAGGAUUCCCCGGAGCGGCGCUCUUCUCCUCGUACAAACGCGCCAAGGUGCAAGGAGGUGCAAAGAGGUGCACCAGGUGAUUCUCCAGACAGAUAUCCCCGGGAAGCAUGACUUCAAAAGUGAUUUGGUUCUUCACCCUGAUGUGCCUGGCUGCCGAAAGUCUCGGGAAGCCGACGAUCUACAAGAGGAACGAGGACAACAUCUUCGAGCCCGUAAUGGUACCUGUAUCGUCCACGGUGAUUCCACUACCAGUUUAUAAAGUCGAAUAUGGUUUUGAUUUCAUAUCGAAGGACAAGAAGGCCCAGUCUGCUUUCAAACCGGAUGGCGUACUAAAAUUAAUUACAGUGAAGAAGAGCUACGAGAAGAAAGCGUAAUGUAACGUUGUUGUCUGCUAACAUCGCCAUAUUCGUGGAUAAUCAACGUUGACCUAAUUGCGAUCACGAUGGAUUUAUUUCAUGCCAAAUCAGGAUUAUAGAGAGGCUAACGAACAGUAAUAAUUUUGCAAGAACUGCCAUAAAUAUCGUAACUUAUAUUCUUACACUAUUAUUACGGCAAACGAAUUGCCUCGUCGAUAUACCUGAUCAACUCACAACCUACAGUCAAACUCGGUAUCUCCGUUUGUGAUUUUGUUUCAUCAAAGGAUAAUCCACUGUCUAAAGUCAUUCUGAAAAUCAGUUUCUAGGUCGAGUUCAGCACAGCGGUUCAAAGCUUGAAACCAAAAACUAGUUUACCCUCCAGCGUGUCAACGCCGACGCUAAGAGGAACAGAUAUAGAUUCAUGUUCACUGUUUAUAUCUCCUACAACCCCGGAAUCAAUAAUUUCAUCUAAAUUCGUUAAAAAUAUAAACAGCGAGUACGAACCAUAGUGCACAAU
rnacentral:misc_RNA from 1 species